rnacentral:pre_miRNA from 1 species
UCACCUCCACAGGCUGGCUGACAUCCAGGCUGGGCUGGGCGGGUAUCUCUUCUACAGGCUCACCCUCAGGCACCACUAGGAGA